GGCGUGCUUUAACACAUGCAAGUCGAACGGUGAACCCAGAGCUUUGCCCUGGGGAUCAGUGCGAACGGGUGAGUAACACGUGGGCAACCUGCCCCAGACUCUGGGAUAACCUCGGGAAACCGAUGCUAAUACCGGAUACGACCACUUCGGACAUCCGACGGUGGUGGAAAGUUUUUCGGUCUGGGAUGGGCCCGCGGCCUAUCAGCUAGUUGGUGGGGUAAUGGCCUACCAAGGGCGACGACGGGUAGCCGGCCUGAGAGGGCGACCGGCCACACUGGAACUGAGACACGGUCCAGACUCCUACGGGAGGCAGCAGUGGGGAAUAUUGCACAAUGGGCGAAAGCCUGAUGCAGCGACGCCGCGUGAGGGACGACGGCCUUCGGGUUGUAAACCUCUUUCAGCAGGGACGAAGCGAAAGUGACUGUACCUGCAGAAGAAGCACCGGCUAACUACGUG
rnacentral:rRNA from 1 species